CGCUGAAGUGGAACCGGAGAGAGUUAACAUAACUUGGUAGCUAUAUCCUCUAAAGUCGCUUAACUGUGGCUCUGGGGGGUGGACGCUACCUGUUGUUGCACUGACUGCGUUGAUUGUGCUUUCCGAACAGUAUAGUGUUGCCCACUUUGUGGUGUCUUGCUUUCUGGGAGGUUUGUCAUAAUUAACGUAAAGCCAAUUCCCUUUGGAGUCAGUGUGAAAGUUAACCACCUUUCCGACCCGUCUUGAAACACGGACCGAGGAGUGUAAUUUAUACGCGAGUCAAGGGGUGGUGAAAACCCUAGGGGCGGAAUGAAAGUAAAGGCCGGUUAACCGGUUGACAUGGGAUCCGCUCUUCGGAGCGGCGCACCAUGGCCCUGUCUUGUCUGCUUGCAGAUGGGCAGCGGUAGAGCGUAUAGUUUGCGACCCGAAAGAUGGUGAACUAUGCUUGAGCAGGACGAAGCCAGAGGAAACUCUGGUGGAAGUCCGUAUCGGUUCUAUACGUGCAAAUCGAUCGAUAGACUUGGGUAUAGGGGCGAAAGACUAAUCGAACCGUCUAGUAGCUGGUUCCCUCCGAAGUUUCCCCCAGGAUAGCUGGAGUAGUGGUGCGUGGUUAUAUCCGGUAAAGCGAAUGAUUAGAGGACUUGGGGGCGAAACGAUCUCAACCUAUUCUCAAACUUUCAAUGGGUAUGAUGUCUCGGUUUCUUUAUUGAACUGUUGACAUGAACGUGUGCUCCAAGUGGGCCAUUUUUGGUAAGCAGAACUGGCGCUGUGGGAUGAACCAAACGCUGGGUUAAGGUGCCUAACUUUUCUCUCAUGAGACCCCAUAAAAGGCGUUGGUUGAUAUAGACAGCAGGACGGUGGCCAUGGAAGUCGGUACCCGCUAAGGAGUGUGUAACAACUCACCUGCCGAAUCAACUAGCCCUGAAAAUGGAUGGCGCUUGAGCGAAAGACCUAUACCCGGCCGUUACUGGCUUGUGCGAUGGCUAACGCCUGGCCGUAACGAGUAGGAGGGUCGUGGUGGUUGCGUUGAAGGCUUAGGGCGUAGGCCCGGCUGGAGCUUCCAUCAGUGCAGAUCUCGGUGGUAGUAGCAAAUAUUUAAGUUCGAUCCUUGAAGACUGAAGUGGGGAA
rnacentral:ncRNA from 1 species